rfam:Myotis davidii contig32465, whole genome shotgun sequence.
GGUGGUUCUUGGGUGACACACCCCUGAAUUGGGCUCCCUCCUCUCUGGUUCAGGGAUGUGUCACCCAAGAACCACU